rnacentral:lncRNA from 1 species
UCAGACUGAAUAAUAUGCAUGUUAACCAUGUAUAAUCUACAUAAUGUUAACCAUGUUGCAUAAUGUUAACCAUGCUGUAUAAUCUACAUGAUGUUAACCAUGCAGUAUAAUCUACAUGAUGUUAACCAUACAGUAUAAUCUACAUGAUGUUAACCAUGCUGUAUAAUCUACAUGAUGUUAACCAUGCUGUAUAAUCUACAUAAUGUUAACCAUGCUUUUUAAUCUACAUGAUGUUAACCAUACAGUAUAAUCUACAUGAUGUUAACCAUGCUUUUUAAUCUACAUGUUAAUCAUGCUGUAUAAUCUACAUAAUGUUAACCAUGCUGUAUAAUUUAUACUCUGAUAUUGGUUGCCGGAUUCCUGAUAAUGCACUGUUCCAAGUGGUUCAUUCCCUCUCCUCUCUCCUGUAACUAUUCCCCAGGUCAUUGCUGUUCCAAGUGGUUCAUUCCCUCUCCUCUCCCCUGUAACUAUUCCCCAGGUCAUUGCUGUUCCAAGUGGUUCAUUCCCUCUCCUCUCCCCUGUAACUAUUCCCCAGGUCAUUGCUGUAAAUGAGAAUGUGUUCUCGGGUCAUCUUAACUGCUAAAAUAAUUGUUAGCAUUGUUCCAUCUAAUGACAUGUGAAUGUAGUUCUAGAUAAUAUAACUGUAUCCUGGCCCUAUAUGGUUCAGUUGGUAUAGCAUGGCGCUUGCGCAGCCAUGGUUCAAUUCCCGGGACCACCCAUACAUAAAAUAUAUGCACACGUUACUGUAA